AGAGUUUGAUCCUGGCUCAGGAUGAACGCUAGCGGGAGGCUUAACACAUGCAAGUCGAGGGGCAGCAUUCACUUCGGUGAGAUGGCGACCGGCGCACGGGUGCGUAACGCGUAUGCAACCUUCCUUGUACAGAGGGAUAGCCCAUGGAAACGUGGAUUAAUAUCUCAUAGUAUCACAAUUUCGCAUGUUAUUGUGAUUAAAGUUUCGGUGGUACAAGAUGGGCAUGCGUAUGAUUAGCUAGUUGGUGAGGUAAAGGCUCACCAAGGCCACGAUCAUUAGGGGUUCUGAGAGGAUUAUCCCCCACACUGGUACUGAGACACGGACCAGACUUCUACGGGAGGCAGCAGUGAGGAAUAUUGGUCAAUGGGCGCAAGCCUGAACCAGCCAUCCCGCGUGCAGGAUGACGGCCCUAUGGGUUGUAAACUGCUUUUGUUUGCCAAGAAAGGACGCUACGAGUAGCGUAUUGACGGUAGCAAAUGAAUAAGGACCGGCUAACUCCGUGCCAGCAGCCGCGGUAAUACGGAGGGUCCAAGCGUUAUCCGGAUUUAUUGGGUUUAAAGGGUGCGCAGGCGGAUCUUUAAGUCAGUGGUGAAAUCUUGCCGCUUAACGGUAAAAUUGCCAUUGAUACUGAAGAUCUUGAAUGUAGUUGAGGUAGGCGGAAUGUGUUGUGUAGCGGUGAAAUGCAUAGAUAUGACACAGAACGCCAAUUGCGAAGGCAGCUUACUAAGCUACGAUUGACGCUGAGGCACGAAAGCGUGGGGAGCGAACAGGAUUAGAUACCCUGGUAGUCCACGCCGUAAAACGAUGAUCACUCGCUGUUUGCGAUACACAGUAAGCGGCUGAGCGAAAGCAUUAGUGAUCCACCUGGGGAGUACGAUCGCAAGGUUGAAACUCAAAGGAAUUGACGGGGCCCGCACAGCGGAGGAACAUGUGGUUAAAUCGAUGAUACGCGAGGAACCUUACCUGGGCUUAAAUGUAGACUGAAUAAGKGCAACACUUUUUCCCUUUCGGCCUGUUUACAAG
rnacentral:rRNA from 1 species